UGCAAGUCGAACGGUAACAGGAAGCAGCUUGCUGCUUCGCUGACGAGUGGCGGACGGGUGAGUAAUGUCUGGGAAACUGCCCGAUGGAGGGGGAUAACUACUGGAAACGGUAGCUAAUACCGCAUAACGUCUUCGGACCAAAGAGGGGGACCUUCGGGCCUCUUGCCAUCGGAUGUGCCCAGAUGGGAUUAGCUAGUAGGUGGGGUAACGGCUCACCUAGGCGACGAUCCCUAGCUGGUCUGAGAGGAUGACCAGCCACACUGGAACUGAGACACGGUCCAGACUCCUACGGGAGGCAGCAGUGGGGAAUAUUGCACAAUGGGCGCAAGCCUGAUGCAGCCAUGCCGCGUGUAUGAAGAAGGCCUUCGGGUUGUAAAGUACUUUCAGCGAGGAGGAAGGCAUUAAGGUUAAUAACCUUGGUGAUUGACGUUACUCGCAGAAGAAGCACCGGCUAACUCCGUGCCAGCAGCCGCGGUAAUACGGAGGGUGCAAGCGUUAAUCGGAAUUACUGGGCGUAAAGCGCACGCAGGCGGUCUGUCAAGUCGGAUGUGAAAUCCCCGGGCUCAACCUGGGAACUGCAUUCGAAACUGGCAGGCUAGAGUCUUGU
rnacentral:rRNA from 1 species